UGCUCAGAAAUAGUUAACAAACUGUGACUUAUUCGGGCAACCGGAAAGACAUCAAAUAACGAACAAAUCAUUAAAACGUAUUUUUUUCAGAUAGAAAUGACAAAAUAAAAUUCACAAAUAAACAGAUUUAAUGGGAACUACUUUUAUCAAGCGGGUGCAACCAAAAAAAUCGAAAAACCGAAAACAUAAAUAGUAUAACUACAUAUAACUACUCAACGAAUAAUAAAAAAUACUUGUAAAUAAAUGAGAAAAUAUACACAAUAACAAAUUUGAAAAAUAUUUAAAAGCUGAAUUCAGAACCACUAGAAUAUAUGUUCAUACAUAUUUGCAAUACCUGUGGAGAAAUCGGAAUAUUUUUUAUACAUAUGUACAUACGUAUGCACACAAAUAUAUUCAGAAUAUAUAGCACAUAAUAAAGGCCGUAAAUAUCGAAAAACCAAUAAAGCAAAAAUGCAACAAACGCGUUCACAGCGGAGGCAAUCCAGUCAUCUUUUCCAAAUGCAAGAUGGACUGAGUCCUAAAAAAACAGCCGUCAUAAUUGUGACCGUAGUUGGUUGCAUUGCAAUACUUUGGCCGAAGGUAUUCUACCCGAUGAUGUUCGGUAGCAACGUGCCCGCGAAAAGUGGAAAUUUAAAGGAUCAACUUGGACCGGGAGGUUGUUGUGAUGUUGUUAUUGACAGAGAUAAAUUUCUGAAUGAAACUCCAACAGAAAUCGGUCCACAAUUGUAUCGCAAGCAACUGAAUUUAUAUACCGGAGAGAUGAAUUCUAAUCCAGGUUUACGGCAGGAGCGUCCAGCACAUUUACAUCCCGAAUCCAUCUAUCAAGCGAUGCGUGAACGGGGUCGUGCCAUUCCUGCAACUACACCGACAGUGCCAAUUUUGGAGCGCAAAGGAUCAGCCAGCAAUCCACCGCCACGUGUCGUUGAUGGCCGGCCUGGCCCUAUUCCCGGAAUGCGCCCACCCAUGGGCGCCGGAUCUAUGCAUCAACCGCAGGCCCGCGCUGGUAAUAGUAUGGGCUUCAUAAUGCCACUUUAUACAAUUGGGAUAAUAGUCUUCUUCGGUUACACGAUUAUGAAGAUAGUGUUCAAGCGGUCAACGCCGAAUGCACCUUAUGGACCCAUGCCUACCAACCCCGACUUUAGAAAAGAAGUCUUUGGUCAAGAAAAUGGCAGACAAGUUGACGAAGCGCAUAAUUCUAAACUAGGGUGGCGCGAACAUCAAGCAAGGUCAAAACCAUAUGAAAAAAUCAGCAGUGGUGGUGGCGGCGGCGGUGUUGCAAGUGGCAGCGAGCUUUACAAUGCCAGUUUGGCUACUGCCACGGCGGCAUCCAUUCUUUCGACGCAGCUGAAGCAGCACACUCAUGGCAUACCCAGCACUUUUGGUGGUGCUGGCACUGGCGCUGGGGGAAGCUUGGCUGCCGGAUACAGCAAGGAAACUGAACAAUUGAUGGAAAUUGAGAAAUUGCGUAAAAAACUUGAGGAUACCGAAAAGGCGAUGGCAAAAUUGAUCGCAGAAAUGAACUCAGACCAAUACGAAGCUAAGAUGAUCGCCAUACAAUUUAUAAAGAGUAAAAUGAAUUAGAAUAUUCACAACGAAUCAAAUUAAGAACGAAAAUCAUCUGAAAGUCAGCUCUAACGCCAACACACCACCAACCUAAGUACUAGCAAAUAGAUACAUACAUAUACAUAUGUAAAUUGUUUGUCUAAUGCAUAAAUUCUACAAUUCAAUUUCAAAUUGCCUACGACGCAACCCAUUGGCUCCAAAAUUGUGCAGCACCUACUGAAUCAAACAAGAAAAAUCAAGCGAAAAUCCGACAUCGAACUUUGGAGACAUUUCCAAUGGGCAUACGAAAUCUGAGCAGGAACAUGAGCAUGG
rnacentral:misc_RNA from 1 species